rnacentral:lncRNA from 1 species
ACGUUUAAAAAUCUACCCAGCAAACCUGUGCCGCAAGCCCGCUUCAUUUAGUACAGAUUAAUAAAUAAUGUUGAUAAAAACUACUUGCCUUAAGUAUUUCAUAUUUAAACAUGAUCAAUUUUAAGAUUUCCGAUCCAGACUGCAUUCUUCCUUUUUCCUCUUUUCAAUAUAAGAAAGAUAAAUAUCCUUGCUUGCAAUAAAUUUGUUAAAAUAAACCUUCAAUAAUUUCAAAUUUCAAUUUCAAUUGUUGGUUUUAACCAGGAAAUUAUUAUUCACUUUUUAUCACCUUUUAAUGUAAAAUAGUUUAUGCUUUCAUUAUAUUAUUUACUAAUCAUUUGAGGUUAGAAUCUGCUUCUUUUACUUUUGAAGUCGUUUCAAAUUCUGUCACGACUAGUGUCAAACCGAGGCAGUUUUGUUCUAUGGUUCACGGGACUACCUAUGUUUUUGAAUUUCUGUGUUCGGAAGGAAGUUGGCGUUUCUCAUAGCUGACUGGCGAGCGUCCUUUUUGAAUUUGAUGGGGACGCGUCUUUGGAUCGUGUAAUUUAGGUAAAAUUUGUAUGCUAAUUAUUUUGAGGCAUCUGGCUUUCCUGGAUAAAUUUACCUAUUACACAUAGUGGGGCUAGAUAAUAGAUGUAGUGUGUAUUGGAUAUUUUAGUAUUUAGCCCAAGCCGAAAAGGGAUUAUUUGUUCAAAGACGUGGUCACUUCGCACGCUAGGCAGGUAUGAAUAAUUUUCGAUUAAUUUUGGUUCAAUCUUAAGGUCUAUCAACCCAGUGUACUUAUGUGGGUCUUCUAUUUUUCUAGCGCUGUGUAUGAGGUCUAUAUAGGGAGUAUUAUUUGGAUUAGAGAAGCUCCAUAGGAGAGCAUAGCGUGGUUGACCGUAGUAAAAACCCCGAUAGGCUUAAGCGGGGUUUUUAUUUUUAUUUUUUUUUGGAGUUUUGGAGUUCGUUUUACUUGGAGUUUUCGUUUUUGGAUUUUUGUAUAUGGUUUCUGGUUUUACUUUUUGUGGAUGUUUUUGGUUACAUUUGGAUGCUAAGAGUCGUCAUUGGAUACAAGUAUAUGUGGUGAAGAAGAUUUCUACUAACGAAUUGUAGUUUGUUACCAGACUAUGGAGGAUAUCAGGUUUUUAUAACAAUGUUAAACAUUUAAAUUCAUUUGUCUUAUUUAUUUUAUAUUAUUUAAUGAUAGUAAAUAUUUUAGGUUCUUUUUUUGUUAACAAAUUAACGUGUUCCUUUUUUUUAUUAUUAUUAUUAAAAUUUAUUGGGGAUAGUCAUACAUUCAACUUUAUAUACAUAUAACUUAUUAUAGAGGUCAUUAUAGUACAUUACUUUUUAGAUUUGUAUUAGUGGCACUCAUGAGCUCAUGCAGCAACUAUAGGGUAGGCACUAGUAUCGCCAAUGUUUAAAAUAUUUCUAAUCUGUAAAUUUAAAUUAUUUUGAUAUUCAUUUCCUUAGCCACUUUAUGCUACCAAUGACUGGACUUGUUUAUUUUCAUAUUUAUUUGUGUUGCAACUGUUUAAUAAAUAAAUGUAAGUAAACCUA